rnacentral:rRNA from 1 species
CCUACGGGAGGCAGCAGUGGGGAAUAUUGGACAAUGGGGGCAACCCUGAUCCAGCCAUGCCGCGUCAUUGAAGAAGGUCUUCGGGUUGUAAAAGUAUUUUGACCUGGAAGAAAUGGCAUCAGCUAAUACCUGGUGUGGAUGACGGUACCGGAAUAAUAAGCCCCG